rnacentral:rRNA from 1 species
GACGAACGCUGGCGGCGUGCUUAACACAUGCAAGUCGAGCGGUAAGGCCCUUUCGGGGGUACACGAGCGGCGAACGGGUGAGUAACACGUGGGUGACCUGCCCUCAGCUCUGGGAUAAGCCUGGGAAACCGGGUCUAAUACUGGAUAUGACUCCAUGACGCAUGUUGUGGGGUGGAAAGCCUUGUGCGGCUGAGGAUGGGCCCGCGGCCUAUCAGCUUGUUGGUGGGGGAUGGCCUACCAAGGCGACGACGGUAGCCGGCCUGAGAGGGCGACCGGCCACACUGGACUGAGACACGGCCCAGACUCCUACGGGAGGCAGCAGGUGGGGAAUCUUGCGCAAUGGGCGAAAGCCUGACGCAGCGACGCCGCGUGAGGAUGACGGCCUGGU